rnacentral:rRNA from 1 species
UACUAGAGUAGCACUCGCAUAUCAAUAAGCGGAGGAAAAGAAACUAACAAGGAUUCCCCUAGUAACGGCGAGUGAAGCGGGAAGAGCUCAAAUUUGAAAUCUUAAAGGGUUUCCCUUUACGAAUUGUAGUUUAAAGAAGUGUUUUCUGUUGAGGUUUUGGUAAAAGUUCUUUGGAAUAGGACAUCAUAGAGGGUGAGAAUCCCGUAUUUGACCUUUACUUUCAACUUUGUGAUACACUUUCAAAGAGUCGGAUUGUUUGGGAAUGCAGUCCAAAAUGGGUGGUAAAUUUCAUCUAAAGCUAAAUAUUGGCGAGAGACCGAUAGCGAACAAGUACCGUGAGGGAAAGAUGAAAAGAACUUUGAAAAGAGAGUUAAACAGUACGUGAAAUUGUCAAAAGGGAAGCGUUUGACACCAGUGUUGUUUUUCUGAAAAUCAAUUAAAGAACUGUUUAUGCUAAGUUGUUUAGACUUUAUCAGCUAUCUGCUUAGUUUUGAGCUUUUCUUUAAUGCACUUUUCAGUUAACAAGUCAACAUCAAUUUCUUUUGCUGUAAAAAAGCUUGAGGAAGGUGGCUUGAGAUUCGUCUUAAGUGUUUAUAGCCUCUUGCCUAUGCAGUCGGAGAGAUUGAGGUCUGCAGCGUAGAUCCUUCGGGGCUAAAUGCAUUUGCGCUAAGUUAUAGCAUUUUAUAGACAACUUGUUGACUAUGAUUUGUCUUGUAGCUUACUCGCUUAUGUUAUUUUACCUACGCUUAGGAUGUUGAACUCUAUCACACACAG